rnacentral:rRNA from 1 species
AAAUCCGGUUGAUCCUGCCGGAGGCUACCGCUAUUGGAGUUCGAUUAAGCCAUGCGAGUCUAGAGGCCUAGCCUCGGCGUACCGCUCAGUAACACGUGGGUAACCUACCCUAUGCUGGGGAAUAAGCUCGGGAAACUGAGAAUAAUACCCCAUAGUCCACUACGCCUGGAACGGUGAGUGGAUGAAAGCUCCGGCGGCAUAGGAUGGGCCUGCGGCGUAUCAGGUUGUAGGGGGUGUAACGUACCCUCUAGCCAUCUACGCGUACGGGUGUUGGGAGACAUAGCCCGGAGAUGGAUUCUGAGACACGAAUCCAGACCCUACGG